rnacentral:lncRNA from 1 species
AUGAAGGUUAUUUUGAUUAUUACAAUGGUGGUGAUCAUGACUAACCAGGGAGGCAAUUCAGGUGGACGGAUCGGAGGAGGUUAAGAUAUGUAAGAUCUUUGAGAUUUCUUUAGACUUUUACUCGGAGAGUGUUAAUGAUUCACCAACUGACAAAGUCUUGUGUUCCUACUUGAGUAAUAUAGAGCUCUUAAUUAAUCAUCCGGCUAAAUGCCAGUUAGGAUAUGAAAGAAGAAACAGCUCAGAGCCACUAUCCCGCUCAACACUAUAUACAGGCUGAUAUGAACUGAGGAUCUUCUUACCAGGGAGACUAUUGGUCGGGGAGAUCUGAGGGGGAGGUUGUUCCAUUUGGACCAGAUGUAUGCAGGGAAGAAACCAGGGAAGAUGGCCCCAAUCGCUUUGAUUUCGAGUUCUGAGCAGUUGAGUGAGUUGUGGUUAUGGCAUCGUCGCUUAGGACAUCCUUCAUUUAGUAAUAUGAAAAAGUCUAUGCCUUCUUUGUUUUUGGGCAUUAAUGAUUCUUCUCUU